rnacentral:rRNA from 1 species
CACCGCCCGUCACACCAUGGGAGUCAGUUGCUCUAGAAGUCGGUGCGCCAACCUCGGAGGCAGUCGCCUAAAGAGUGACUGGUGACUGGGGUG